rnacentral:rRNA from 1 species
GUGCCAGCAGCCGCGGUAAUACGUAGGUGGCAAGCGUUAUCCGGAAUUAUUGGGCGUAAGGCGCGCGUAGGCGGUUUUUUAAGUCUGAUGUGAAAGCCCACGGCUCAACCGUGGAGGGUCAUUGGAAACUGGAAAACUUGAGUGCAGAAGAGGAAAGUGGAAUUCCAUGUGUAGCGGUGAAAUGCGCAGAGAUAUGGAGGAACACCAGUGGCGAAGGCGACUUUCUGGUCUGUAACUGACGCUGAUGUGCGAAAGCGUGGGGAUCAAACAGGAUUAGA